AACGAACGCUGGCGGCAUGCCUAACACAUGCAAGUCGAACGAGACCUUCGGGUCUAGUGGCGCACGGGUGCGUAACGCGUGGGAAUCUGCCCUUGGGUUCGGAAUAACAGUUGGAAACGACUGCUAAUACCGGAUGAUGACGUAAGUCCAAAGAUUUAUCGCCCAAGGAUGAGCCCGCGUAGGAUUAGCUAGUUGGUGAGGUAAAGGCUCACCAAGGCGACGAUCCUUAGCUGGUCUGAGAGGAUGAUCAGCCACACUGGGACUAAGACACGGCCCAGACUCCUACGGGAGGCAGCAGUGGGGAAUAUUGGACAAUGGGCGAAAGCCUGAUCCAGCAAUGCCGCGUGAGUGAUGAAGGCCUUAGGGUUGUAAAGCUCUUUUACCCGGGAUGAUAAUGACAGUACCGGGAGAAUAAGCUCCGGCUAACUCCGUG
rnacentral:rRNA from 1 species